UCGGGUCUAGUGGCGCACGGGUGCGUAACGCGUGGGAAUCUGCCCCUUGGUUCGGAAUAACGUCGGGAAACUGACGCUAAUACCGGAUGACGACGUAAGUCCAAAGAUUUAUCGCCGAGGGAUGAGCCCGCGUAGGAUUAGCUAGUUGGUGUGGUAAAGGCGCACCAAGGCGACGAUCCUUAGCUGGUCUGAGAGGAUGAUCAGCCACACUGGGACUGAGACACGGCCCAGACUCC
rnacentral:rRNA from 1 species